rnacentral:lncRNA from 1 species
AGACACGCGUGCCAAUUCAAACAAUUCCACCUCUUACCUCCAGAGUCCCAGGCUCUUUCUAGGACCUUCAAUAACAACCUGAGAUAACUAACAGAGAGAGAGAAGAAUGACAGCAUGGGAAGUUUCAGUCCACAUCUACCACAGCAUUAUGGCAGAAGGGCAUGGGAUGGUUGGCAGGAAGCAGAAAGAGAUCACAGACAAGGCCCUGAAAAUGAGCUGUCCAAAGGAUCAACCCACUGAAUCCAGCUGUGACCCACUCACCUCUGCUGAUUCACCAGCCUUGGACUGAACCUCCUACACCCGAGCCUUCAACACUCAAUACCCAACACCGCAGAUGGCAGGCACGUGAGCCCAGAGACGCAGAAAAGACACCAUGACUGUGGGUCCCUUUCAGCACUUCACACAGCCGACAUCUCCUUAAUUCUGCCUCAGCCGACUUCUGCAGCUACCCAUUCCCAGCCUAUCACUUCACACUCAUAAAUAUCAGAGAUGCUUCCAUUUCCCCACUAUUUCUA